CCAUGGCUGGAGCAUCCCUCACCUCCGCCUCUAGGGCCCGGACUUCACCUCGGCCCGUAGACCCAGUGCCUCCACCUCGGCUCCUAGCUCCCUCACCUCCACUUUCACCCGGCGAUCCACCAGCUCCACCGGGCUCCCUUGUCCCUCCGGCUCCACCUUGGUCGGGCGUUGACCCACCAUCGCUUCAGGGCUCUGCUCCACCGGCUGCACUUUGUCACUCCAUCCCACCAGAUCCAUUGGGCUCCUUCCUCCCACCAGCUCCACCUUGGUCCUUAGUCGCUCCAGAUCUGCUGCAGAUCUGCGGAUCUCCGCCUCCACCUUGGUCACCAGAGCCCUCAGCUUCACCCUGGUCCCCCGGAUCCUUGGCAUCCCCCUGGCGCGUUGGCUCACCGUCUCUGCCUCGGGCUCCUCCACCAUCUGCUCUGCCACUGUUGGUCAGCCCCCUGGAGACGGCCGCCAUUCCUCCUCCAUGGCUCCUCCCUCUGUCGGCUCCACCAUGGGUCGCCAUCAUGGCUGUGGCCUGGGUCCUGCUCGGCUCCUCCUGCUCCAAGUUUUUCCUGUUUCCUCACUGGCUCCUCCCUCCAUUUGAUCCACCCUGGCUCCUCCUGUUUCCUCCCUGGCUUCUCCCUCCAUCGUCACCUCCCUGGUCUCUGUCUGCCGGCCCCCUCCUGGGUGUCCGUCCUCCUCCUGAGCAGCCUCCCAAGUUCCCACCCGUGAACAACAUCCCCAUACCCCCCCCCCCUGUUGUUCUACGGUCCGAAGACUCGCCCUCCGGGCGGGGGGCGAUAUGUCAGGAUCAUGGACCUGUUUUGUUAUGUUUUGCCCCUGUUUCUGUCCCUGUGUUCCCUUAUUUAGUCAUGUUCCUGUCCUCGUUUAUUUAAUUAGCCAUUCUGUGCACCUGUGUUUGACAAUUGUCCUGUGUUUAUAAGUUCUUGUCUAUGCAUUUCUCCUCUGUCAGGUCUACUUAUUGUGAAAGUCAUCCUUGUGCUCUGUGUCUCCCUAUUGGAUGAUUAAAAGACUCUUGUUCUGUGAAAUCUCCACGUUUCCUCGUGCCCGUGCUCCAGCGUGUUGUGACAUAUAUAUAUACAAUAUAUAUAUAUGAAUAUAUUGUAUAUAUAUAUGAAUAUAUUGUAUAUAUUCAUAACAAUGUUUGUAGUUGUAAGGUCCACGCACUUGGCCCAAGGAAGGUAUCCAGUGGUAGCUGAAGGUUUC
ensembl:lncRNA